UGGGCUACACACGUGCUACAAUGGUUGGUACAACGAGAGGCAAGCUCGCGAGAGUAAGCAAAUCUCAAAAAGCCAUCCUCAGUUCGGAUUGGAGUCUGCAACUCGACCCCAUGAAGUCGGAAUCGCUAGUAAUCGCGGAUCAGCACGCCGCGGUGAAUACGUUCCCGGGCCUU
rnacentral:rRNA from 1 species